CUCUAACUGAAACCCGCUCCAAACUUUCUGAACAUGCCUUUCAAAGCUCAAUAUGUCUCCCAGGGCCACCAUGGAUACUGGAUCAGGAUGAGAACUGCAUAAGGGUGUCUGGCCAAGAGUAGCCCUGGAGGAAGGGGACUGAAGAUGAACUCCACAAAGCCCUCUCAGCUGAAAAACCUGGGCUUGUGAACUGCAACACAUAUCUGGGAGGCUGGGUUUUCCAAGGCACUGCCACUGCCUGCCCCCAUAUGGGGACUCUGCUGCUCCCAGGUCCCCAGCUGGAGCCCCCAGCCCUGCUCCCUAAUUCCAGCGGAGCAGGCACCGUGCCCGCAUGCCCAAUUGAUUCUCCCAGCACACACAGGUAAUUCAUCUCAGCUUCGCUUCCAGGCCCCCACCCCCAGAUGUGCAGCCUUCGCAGCAGCCAGAGGCCAGCUCACCCCACCCAUAUCGCCGGCCAGCUGCAGCCCCUCAUUUCUCGGGGAAGAGAGAACUAAUAAACGACAGUCUCUGAGCUGUACACCCCCCACCAUUCCAUUCUUGCCACAGCCGCCCCAUAAAACAAAGGAGAGAGAUAUAAAGGAGCAAAUGUGAGUGUGGAUAGAGUUUCUAGCUGAUGAGAGGAGUGGAGAUGGUUGGCUACAGACAGGACUGAGACAAGAGUGGACUGAGGCUGGGCCACUUGGCUGGGUCACCGCCACUUGGGCCCCUACACUAUCUCCUCAGGCAGGGACAAGGACAAUAAGAUUAAGAAACAGAGGGUAGCAAAU